rnacentral:rRNA from 1 species
GAACGCUAGCGACAGGCCUAACACAUGCAAGUCGAGGGCAGCACAAGGAGCAAUCUGAGGUGGCGACCGGCGCACGGGUGAGUAACACGUAUGCAACCUGCCUGUAAGCGGGGAAUAACCCGUUGAAAGACGGACUAAUACCGCAUAAUACUAAAUUACUGCAUGGUAAUUUAUUUAAACAUUUAUGGCUUACAGAUGGGCAUGCGCAUGAUUAGCUAGUUGGAGAGGUAACGGCUCCCCAAGGCAACGAUCAUUAGGGGUUCUGAGAGGAAGGUCCCCCACACUGGUACUGAGACACGGACCAGACUCCUACGGGAGGCAGCAGUGAGGAAUAUUGGUCAAUGGACGAGAGUCUGAACCAGCCAAGUCGCGUGCAGGAAGAAUGUCCCUAUGGAUUGUAAACUGCUUUUGCAGGGGAAUAAAGUGCAUCACGUGUGAUGUUUUGUAUGUACUCUGCGAAUAAGGAUCGGCUAACUCCGUGCCAGCCGCCGC